UACAAAGGUCCCAAGCGUUGUUCGGAUUCACUGGGCGUAAAGGGUGCGUAGGUGGUGGGGUAAGUCGGAUGUGAAAGCUCGGAGCUCAACUCCGAAAUGGCAUUGGAAACUACCCUGCUAGAGGAUUGGAGGGGGGACUGGAAUACUUGGUGUAGCAGUGAAAUGCGUAGAUAUCGGGAGGAACACCAGUGGCGAAGGCGACUACCUGGCCUGUUCUUGACGCUGAGGCGCGAAAGCUAGGGGAGCAAACGGG
rnacentral:rRNA from 1 species